CAACUCCUUCAGAGUUGACCUCGGAUCAGGUAGGAAUACCCGCUGAACUUAAGCAUAUCAAUA
rnacentral:rRNA from 1 species